ACGAACGCUGGCGGCGUGCUUAACACCUGCCAGUCGAACGGAAAGGCCCUGCUUUUGUGGGGUGCUCGAGUGGCGAACGGGUGAGUAACACGUGAGUAACCUGCCCUUGACUUUGGGAUAACUUCAGGAAACUGGGGCUAAUACCGGAUAGGAGCUCCUGCUGCAUGGUGGGGGUUGGAAAGUUUCGGCGGUUGGGGAUGGACUCGCGGCUUAUCAGCUUGUUGGUGGGGUAGUGGCUUACCAAGGCUUUGACGGGUAGCCGGCCUGAGAGGGUGACCGGCCACAUUGGGACUGAGAGACGGCCCAGACUCCUACGGGAGGCAGCAGUGGGGAAUAUUGCACAAUGGGCGGAAGCCUGAUGCAGCAACGCCGCGUGCGGGAUGAAGGCCUUCGGGUUGUAAACCGCUUUCGCCUGUGACGAAGCGUGAGUGACGGUAAUGGGUAAAGAAGCACCGGCUAACUACGUG
rnacentral:rRNA from 1 species